rnacentral:rRNA from 1 species
GAAACUGCGAAUGGCUCAUUAAAUCAGUUAUCGUUUAUUUGAUAAUACCUUACUACUUGGAUAACCGUGGUAAUUCUAGAGCUAAUACAUGCUGAAAAUCCCGACUUCGGAAGGGAUGUGUUUAUUAGAUAAAAAACCAAUGCCCUUCGGGGCUUUUUGGUGAUUCAUGAUAACUUUACGGAUCGCAUAGCCUUGCGCUGGCGACGGUUCAUUCAAAUUUCUGCCCUAUCAACUUUCGAUGGUAAGGUAUUNGGCUUACCAUGGUUUCAACGGGUAACGGGGAAUUAGGGUUCGAUUCCGGAGAGGGARCCUGAGAAAACGGCUACCACAUCCAAGGAAGGCAGCAGGCGCGCAAAUUACCCAAUCCCGACACGGGGAGGUAGUGACAAUAAAUACUGAUACAGGGCUCUUUUGGGUCUUGUAAUUGGAAUGAGUACAAUUUAAACCUCUUAACGAGGAACAAUUGGAGGGCAAGUCUGGUGCCAGCAGCCGCGGUAAUUCCAGCUCCAAUAGCGUAUAUUAAAGUUGUUGCAGUUAAAAAGCUCGUAGUUGAAACUUGGGCCUGGCUGGCGGGUCCGCCUCACCGCGUGCACUCGUCCGGCCGGGCCUUCCUUCUGAAGAACCUCAUGCCCUUCACUGGGCGUGCUGGGGAAUCAGGACUUUUACUUUGAAAAAAUUAGAGUGUUCAAAGCAGGCCUUUGCUCGAAUACGUUAGCAUGGAAUAAUAAAAUAGGGCGUGCGUUUCUAUUUUGUUGGUUUCUAGAGACGCCGCAAUGAUUAACAGGAACAGUCGGGGGCAUCAGUAUUCAGUUGUCAGAGGUGAAAUUCUUGGAUUUACUGAAGACUAACUACUGCGAAAGCAUUUGCCAAGGAUGUUUUCAUUAAUCAGUGAACGAAAGUUAGGGGAUCGAAGACGAUCAGAUACCGUCGUAGUCUUAACCGUAAACUAUGCCGACUAGGGAUCGGGCGAUGUUCUUUUUCUGACUCGCUCGGCACCUUACGAGAAAUCAAAGUU